GGAAAUUACAGGACACGUUUAGAUUUCCAAUCUGGGGCGAGCAAUGCUGAGUGCGAAGAGGAGGACAGGGUGAGGGUCAGAUCCCAGGGGAGGAGACACCAGAUAACUGAGGAGUAAAUGGAUCGGGGCACGACAAUGACAGAGUCACGGUCUUCUAGGGCUGCUCUGAAGAUGAACAGGGAGAGUGCCCACUACACCUGCUGUAGCACGUGGCCCGGUAGACAGGGAGUCCGAAGCGGAAGUGGCAGAGUUUCUGUGAGUGACGCCUCCACCAAGAAGAGGUGCUGGUGGAAGAAAUUCAAGGCA